GAUUCGUCACACUAUCAUUAACUGAAUCCAUAGGUUAAUGAGGCGAACCGGGGGAACUGAAACAUCUAAGUACCCCGAGGAAAAGAAAUCAACCGAGAUUCCCCCAGUAGCGGCGAGCGAACGGGGAGGAGCCCAGAGCCUGAAUCAGCAUGUGUGUUAGUGGAAGCGUCUGGAAAGGCGCGCGAUACAGGGUGACAGCCCCGUACACAAAAGCGCAUGUGCUGUGAGCUCGAUGAGUAGGGCGGGACACGUGGUAUCCUGUCUGAAUAUGGGGGGACCAUCCUCCAAGGCUAAAUACUCCUGACUGACCGAUAGUGAACCAGUACCGUGAGGGAAAGGCGAAAAGAACCCCGGCGAGGGGAGUGAAAAAGAACCUGAAACCGUGUACGUACAAGCAGUGGGAGCCCCACCACCAAAGCAUUCUCUGGUGUUGAAGGCCCUGCAAAGCAGCAUCGCGGUGGCGGAGCGUCGUUUGCGACGCCCAACACACAAAACAAGCGGUGAAUGCUUUG
rnacentral:rRNA from 1 species